GUUGGCGGCAUGGAUUAGGCAUGCAAGUCGCGCGCAAGCCUCUUUUAGCUUGCAUUUGAGGUGAGGAGCGGCGUAAGGGAGAGUAAACGGGUGGAUUAUCUACCCUCAGGUCAGGGAUAGCUGCGGGAAACUGCAAGUAAUACCGGAUAAUAUCUGCGGAUCAAAGGUGUGAUUCCGCCUGGGGAUGAGUCCGCCUCCUAUUAGCUUGUUGGUGGGGUAACGGCCUACCAAGGCUACGAUGGGUACCCGGUGUGAGAGCAUGGCCCGGCUCACUGGGACUGAGACACUGCCCAGACACCUACGGGUGGCUGCAGUCGAGAAUCUUCGGCAAUGGGCGCAAGCCUGACCGAGCGAUGCCGCGUGCGGGAUGAAGGCCGUUCGGGUUGUAAACCGCUGUCAGUAGGGAAGGAAAUGCUAUGGGGCAAUCUCCAUAGUUUGACCUAUCUUCAGAGGAAGGACGGGCUAAGUUCGUG
rnacentral:rRNA from 1 species